rfam:Camelus ferus unplaced genomic scaffold scaffold838, whole genome shotgun sequence.
GAGGGUAGAGCUCAGUGGUGGAGGGUGUGCUUAGCAUGCACGAGGUCCUAGGUUCAAUCCCCAGUAUCUCCG